rnacentral:rRNA from 1 species
UACGAAGGGGGCUAGCGUUGCUCGGAAUUACUGGGCGUAAAGGGAGCGUAGGCGGAUAGUUUAGUCAGAGGUGAAAUCCCGGGGCUCAACCUCGGAGCUGCCUUUGAUACUGGCUAUCUUGAGUAUGGGAGAGGUGUGUGGAACUCCGAGUGUAGAGGUGAAAUUCGUAGAUAUUCGGAAGAACACCAGUGGCGAAGGCGACACACUGGCCCAUUACUGACGCUGAGGCUCGAAAGCCAGGGGAGCGAACGGG